UGAAACACGGACCAAGGAGUCUAACAUGUGCGCAAGUCAUUGGCUUGUAAAGCCACAGGCGAAAUGAAAGUAAAAGUCGGCAUUGGUCGGCUUAGGUGAGAUCCCGUAAGGGCGCAUCACCGUCUCGUCUUAUCUGCUUUGUCAGAAGGGCGAAGAAAGAGCGUACGUGUUGGGACCCGAAAGAUGGUGAACUAUGCCUGAGCAGGACGAAGUCAGAGGAAACUCUGAUGGAGGUCCGUAGCGGUUCUGACGUGCAAAUCGAUCGUCAGACUUGGGUAUAGGGGCGAAAGACUAAUCGAACCAUCUAGUAGCUGGUUCCCUCCGAAGUUUCCCUCAGGAUAGCUGGUGCAUGUACAGGAGUGGAACAGUUUUAUCCGGUAAAGCGAAUGAUUAGAGGCCUUGGGGACGAAAUGACCUCAACCUAUUCUCAAACUUUAAAUGGGUAAGAAGUCUGCCUUGCUUGAUUGAAGGCUAGACAUUGAAUGAAUGUGCCAAGUGGGCCAUUUUUGGUAAGCA
rnacentral:rRNA from 1 species